rnacentral:rRNA from 1 species
UCCCCUAGUAACGGCGAGUGAAGAGGGAGAAGCUCAAAUUUUAAAUCUACCUGGUUUUUCCCAGGUCGAGUUGUAGUUUGAAGAAGCGAUAUCGGUGUUGAGGUCUGGUUUAAGUUCUUUGGAACAAGACAUCAUGGAGGGUGAGAAUCCCGUGCAUGAUCAGACCAAGAUACUAAGUAUACGCUUUCCAAGAGUCGAGUUGUUUGGGAAUGCAGCUCAAAAUGGGUGGUAGACUUCACCUAAGGCUAAAUAUCAGCGAGAGACCGAUAGCGAACAAGUACUGUGAAGGAAAGAUGAAAAGAACUUUGAAAAGAGAGUUAAAUAGUACGUGAAAUUGUUGAGAGGGAAACGAUUGAAGUCAGUCAUGCCAGUGAAAACUCAGUUUGUCGGUGAUCUAGUUCAGGAGUAGAGGCAGGGUCAAACCGUCUCUCUUCUGGACGGGAUUUUUGGCAGAUGGAAUUUUUUUCUGGCAGGUCAGCGUCGGUUUCGGGGGUUGUAAAAUACUUGGGGUGAAGUAGUCUGCUUCGGGAGAGUGUUAUAGACCUUGCGGGAUGCAGCCCGCGGGAUCGAGGAUUGCAGCAAAUGCCUU